rnacentral:lncRNA from 1 species
CCGCUAAUUGAAUACAUGCAAACGUUUGACAAAAUCACCCUAAAGAUGCUUUAAAAGGUAUCGCUGCAAGCAGACAUGUCUUAUAAAGGCUUCUAGUCUGCAACUGGUAUGGUGUGCUUACGAGAAGGCAAUAAAUUCGGUAAUUAUGAAGGUGAGAAACUUAGAGUAGGCCUUUGUGCUUUUGCUAGGAAACUAAACUGAAGUGCUAUGUACGACUAUGGCGCAGUCAAAAUGCAACUUCCUGUAGAGAGGGGCCUAAGAACUGUGCUGUAGGUUCAAUUUGUCGCUCUUACAUCAUUCGCUUCUGCAUGUCUAGAAGUGAACUUGAGGGUUUUGGGAUCACAUACAGGAAACUGCACAAACUGAUAAGACAGUCAAGAAAACGACGCAUGGUGAGUCUGCGGGCUCCUCUAAACUCCUGGACAUGGCUGGUCUUUCCGGAUUAAAGAUGCUGGCACUGUUUUUCGGCUUGGUCUUCUUGGUCCAGUCCACCUCCUCAGUCACCUCACCUCCACCCACCAAUACAACCUCCUUUCUCCAGGGCUCAAGCUCCAGUGCUGAGAAAGGUAACGCUUCAGUGUGUAUUGUGUGUCAGCAUGUGUAUCGUUACAUUGUGUUGUGGUGCACAUUGAAAAGCCAACCUGAUCUCAUGACAGUGGUAUGACUCAUUGUUCAUUGAUAAGAUUAUGCUGUUU